UACGUAGGGGGCAAGCGUUGUUCGGAAUUACUGGGCGUAAAGCGUGCGCAGGCGGUGAUGUAAGACAGAUGUGAAAUCCCCGGGCUCAACCUGGGAACUGCAUUUGUGACUGCAUCGCUGGAGUGCGGCAGAGGGGGAUGGAAUUCCGCGUGUAGCAGUGAAAUGCGUAGAUAUGCGGAGGAACACCGAUGGCGAAGGCAAUCCCCUGGGCCUGCACUGACGCUCAUGCACGAAAGCGUGGGGAGCAAACAGG
rnacentral:rRNA from 1 species